CCGAGCUGAACUGAACGCAGCAUUAAUCACUGACUGUGACCAGGUGAAGUUCAUUUUGAAGAGGCGGAGCACAAAUAUAAGCGCUUAGCACAGAGCUUCUGCUGACAGCAUCUAUCAGACUGUUACUGCUGACCUGUUGUAGCUGAACUGUGUUGCAGUUUGAGAUUUAAACAUGCUUGACCUGUUUCUCAGGGUUUCUUGGGUUUGCUUCCUGCUCUUCAGCAGAGCAGCUUGUUUCCCUACAAUGAUUCAAGUUUCGGAUCAAUUUGGUGAUGACUGGACUUCUGAUACUGGAGGGGUCGGGGCUAGCAGCUCCAGAGGUGGAGGGGAUGGCGCUGGAGGCUUUUAUGGAUCCUCAUUUCUUGGUGGUGUUUCUUGGGUUACUGCUCCUGCAGGAGGAGCCCUUUCUCUUGAUUCUCAGAAAUGGCUGCCAUCCGAGUCUUUCCCUGACUUCAGUGGCUUGUUUACUCCCACCGUGCCACUGGGCAUGGUCGCAGCGCCUCCCAUACUUCCUUCAUCCUACAUCAUCCAGUCUGGGAAUGGCUACCAGCGGGGAAGGGAAGCCCUUGCUUUCUCUAAAUACUCUGAUGAUAUAGUCGUUCCUUUUCUUCUGACACAGUAUCCAGAGUUUUCCUGAGACUGAGUUUCAAGAGCCGCAGAUCUGAGGUGAUGCUGUGCAAGAACUGAAGUCUUCAAACAUUAAACAAAAGACAAAUUGCAUUGACUGUCAAUCAUCUUUGUUUUAGAUGUUUCAAUGAGCUCUUAACUCUAUGGACAAUGAACCACAAUUUGUAAACUACAAUAAUGUUCACUGCAUGAAGGGUAUUAUGGCCUGGAAAUAAAUGCAGCAGGAUAACUGGUUGCCAAAAUUUUACUGCUAGUGAGCUGGAAAUACACUCGUAUAUCUGCUGCUCCCAAAGUAACACACAAAAUGGCUGGCAUGAGUAAACCCACUAUGUUCCUACAUCAGGUUUCUUAUAAUAAAUAGCAAGAAGAAAGUUUUGAUCCCUGAAACAAACUCCACAAACUUUCCUUUUCUCCCCCCACUCCCACCUGACAUCAGGCGGCUUCAGAAGAAAAAUGUUUUUUCUGAUUUGGUGAACAUGAAAUUCCUGAAUAUAACCAUCUUGCUACCUAACGUAACAGCUGCCUGACAAACCUUACCAACAUGCUAUCUGCAACCACAACACUCAUCAAGUUUGAGUUGAGCUAACAUUAGCUGGUUUUGUUCAGUGUUGACGCUGUAAGGGUUCAGAUGAGCAACCAUAAAUGUCCUAUGUUGUUUUUAACACAACAUUAGCAAAGCUGUAGGAUUUAAGAUACCCUAUAUAAGAUGUGAGAGAUGAUUUCAAUACAUAUAAUUGGUACAGAUUUUAUGUUGAUUUGGGGUGGGGGGUUUUUUUAAGCAAAACGUAUUAUUUCUACACUGUUUAUGCUAACAAAUGGAUUAUUAUCAUUGAGUUUUAUAUAAUUAACCUCAUGUUUUAAUUCAACAGUCCAGUGUUUGGGCCGUCACUUUCUUUCUUGGUAUAAGCCUCUGAACAAAAGCAAGUCUUGCAACUCCACAGCCGUCUGAAAUGUCUGGAAAGACUUAAAAUGGUGGUUAAUUUGAAACAUAAUCUAAAUUAAGUUUAAGUGUUCAUCAAAACAUAAGAAUUGUAUGUACAGAAUCAUCAGUCAUAUCUAUGGGAGCUUGUUUCCUGCACUGAGGAAAACAAGUAUAAGUCAAAUGUUUUUUUUUAAAAUAAAUUUUAUGUUAUCUCAGUUUUUUUUGUUUUUUUUUUGUUCCAAGUUAUCUCAAUAUUUCAACUUAAUAUUUCAUUAUUAAGUCAAAAUUCCACAAUACUAACCUGAAAAUUUGACAUAUUGACUGUAAAAAAAGAAAAAAAGCAGGCAGUAUAUAAACAAUACAAGGUUAGGUUGAAAACCUUUCUCCUUGGAGGUUUGCACUCAUUUGCUCCUAACUGUUCAGUAGAUGGGUGAAACAUGUCCAAGUUCCAAGCUAAAUGCAGGAUUUACCAGGUGUAGUUGAUCACUGUAAUUGCAACUAGAGCACAAAUAUAAAGCAAACAGCAAACACACACCAGUUAAAGCACAAACCUGCAACAGCGGCACCCAUGUUUUUGCUCC
ensembl:lncRNA